rnacentral:rRNA from 1 species
GACGAACCGUGCGAACGUUGUUCGGAAUCACUGGGCUUAAAGGGCGCGUAGGUGGCCCGGUCAGUUCGUGGUGAAAGCGCGGGGCUCAACCCUGCGUCGGCCAUGAAUACUGCCGCGGCUGGAGCACUGUAGAGGCAGGCGGAAUUCCGGGUGUAGCGGUGGAAUGCGUAGAGAUCCGGAAGAACACCGGUGGCGAAGGCGGCCUGCUGGGCAGUUGCUGACACUGAGGCGCGACAGCGUGGGGAGCAAACAGG